GACGAACGCUGGCGGCGUGCUUAACACAUGCAAGUCGAACGGAAAGGCCCUGCUUUUGUGGGGUGCUCGAGUGGCGAACGGGUGAGUAACACGUGAGUAACCUGCCCUUGACUUUGGGAUAACUUCAGGAAACUGGGGCUAAUACCGGAUAGGAGCUCCUGCUGCAUGGUGGGGGUUGGAAAGUUUCGGCGGUUGGGGAUGGACUCGCGGCUUAUCAGCUUGUUGGUGGGGUAGUGGCUUACCAAGGCUUUGACGGGUAGCCGGCCUGAGAGGGUGACCGGGCACAGUUGGACUGAGAUACGGCCCAGACUCCUACGGGAGGCAGCAGUGGGGAAUAUUGCACAAUGGGCGGAAGCCUGAUGCAGCAACGCCGCGUGCGGGAUGACGGCCUUCGGGUUGUAAACCGCUUUCGCCUGUGACGAAGCGUGAGUGACGGUAAUGGGUAAAGAAGCACCGGCUAACUACGUG
rnacentral:rRNA from 1 species